UUGGUAUUCGUCUUUGCAAUUUAAUUGAAUCUUACACUAACGAUCAUUUAUUCUCUUCAAUUUCACAUCUAGGGUUUUAAUUUUGGUUUUCCUUGAUUCAAUUUCAGAUAGAUUCACGACGGUGGGUUUCGGACAAUGUGGGUUUCAAAUGUCCCAUGGUUUGAUAUUUGAUCAUCAUUUUGUGAUAUGAUCUCGAUUAGCCCUUUCGAUUUGUCUCGGUAGCAUUUGUGAAAUCUCAAUUCGAAAUAUUAGUGCUUCCUCUAUUCAUACUACCAGGACAAACACUUUAGCCGAUGAAAAAGUUUCGUCGGCCUGUUAGCUUAAUUCGUCGGUUAAGAUCUUAGCCGACGAUGGAUCGUCGGCUAAAAUUUCAUCGGGAAAAGGUCGUCGGCGAUGACUUUAGCCGACGAAAAAAAAAAAUGUUGUCGGCUAUAGUCCCACAAUUUAGCCGACGAAAAACAUAUCGUCGGUUUUUUUCCCAGACUUUAGCCGACGAAACAAUAAGAUAUUCGUCGGCUAAAGUGUGUAAUAAAAAAUUUAAAAAAAACUAUAGCCGACGAAAUAUAGUCUGUUUCGUCGGCUAAACCUUAUAAAAAAAUAUUAAAAAAAUAACUAUAACCGACGAAAUAUAGUCUGUUUCGUCGGCUAAACCUUAUAAAAAAUUUAAAAUAACUAUAGCCGACGAAACAUGCCAUAAUUCGUCGGCUAAACCUUAUAAAAAAAUUAAAAAUACUAUAGCCGACGAAUAUAGUGUUUAAAUAUAGUGUUUGAAAAAAAAAACUGCAGAAACUUUCGGCCACCUCCAAUCACCACCAAGAUUUGAUAGAAUCUUCCUCUCAACAUUUCGAACAACUUUCUAGAAGAAGUCGAAGCCCA
rnacentral:lncRNA from 1 species